UACGGAGGGUGCGAGCGUUAAUCGGAAUUACUGGGCGUAAAGCGCGCGUAGGCGGUUUGUUUAGUCGGAUGUGAAAGCCCCGGGCUCAACCUGGGAAUUGCAUUCGAUACUGGCAGACUAGAGUAUGGUAGAGGGUAGCGGAAUUCCCGGUGUAGCGGUGAAAUGCGUAGAUAUCAGGAAGAACACCAGUGGCGAAGGCGGCCAUCUGGGACAACACUGACGCUGAAGCACGAAAGCGUGGGGAGCAAACAGG
rnacentral:rRNA from 1 species